rnacentral:tRNA from 1 species
GCCUGGGUGGCUCAGUUGGUUGAGCAUCCGACUUCAGCUCAGGUCAUGAUCUCGCAGUUCGUGAGUUCAAGCCCCGCCUCGGGCU